rnacentral:rRNA from 1 species
UACGUAGGUCCCGAGCGUUGUCCGGAUUUAUUGGGCGUAAAGCGAGCGCAGGUGGUUUAUUAAGUCUGGUGUGAAAGGCAGUGGCUCAACCAUUGUAUGCAUUGGAAACUGGUAGACUUGAGUGCAGGAGAGGAGAGUGGAAUUCCAUGUGUAGCGGUGAAAUGCGUAGAUAUAUGGAGGAACACCGGUGGCGAAAGCGGCUCUCUGGCCUGUAACUGACACUGAGGCUCGAAAGCGUGGGGAGCAAACAGG